UACGUAGGGUGCGAGCGUUGUCCGGAAUUAUUGGGCGUAAAGAGCUCGUAGGCGGUUUGUCGCGUCUGCUGUGAAAACGCGAGGCUCAACCUCGCGCCUGCAGUGGGUACGGGCAGACUAGAGGUAUGCAGGGGAGAACGGAAUUCCUGGUGUAGCGGUGAAAUGCGCAGAUAUCAGGAGGAACACCGGUGGCGAAGGCGGUUCUCUGGGCAUUACCUGACGCUGAGGAGCGAAAGUGUGGGGAGCGAACAGG
rnacentral:rRNA from 1 species